AUUAAUGUUAAGUUUGGUGAUUAAAACUUAAUAAGAGUGAAAAAUGUGUCAAAAGCCAAUUUGGACUUUUCUUCUUAUGAAACCUUUAUUAACCUUUAUAUAAAAAAAAAAUAAAAAUAAAAAAAACAAUUUAAUGAUCACAUAUAUGGCAAAGGGUGGCCGACCAUGUGCUAUUUUAGAGUGGUGUGAACCCAAUUUUAUAAAGUUUAACUCCCAUUUAAUUAAGAAGUCAAGUGGGCAAGUGGGUAGAAAAGCACUCAAGUGUUUUGUGAUAUUUUGAAGAGUUGUGUGAGCCAUUCUAACCCCCAAAUCCGACCACUCUCCCUCCCUCAUUCACUCUCAUCUGAUUUUUGAAGACUCUCUCACGUGUUCUCUCCAUUUUCAACCCCAAGAACACCAAAGAAACUUGGAAGCUAAGUCUUGGUCUAGGAAGGGUUUUCCCUAAGUUGGUUAGGGUUUUUGAAAGGUUUUGGAGGAGCCAAAGCUAAUAGGAAGGUCCAAACCUUAAGCAAGAACACCAAAGAGGUAAGGGCAAGGGCAGGGCAGAGCAGUGAGCGCUGGAGUCUUCCUUGCAAAUGUACAUGUGGACCGACCUUUUGGGAAGCCGUUUUAUUUUUGGAAAUGUUGUGUAAUUUUCCUAAACUAGGCUCACUCUACUCUUUAUAAAACAUGUUUGUAACUAAAUGUUAAGUAUGGCCAUAUGACUUUUUUUAAAGUUUUUUUUUUCUAUGGGUUUUUGAGACAUUUUGUUAAAUGAAAACAUUUAUAUUUCUGCAUUAUCGAGUCUUGAAAAUCCGGGUCG